AAAUGUUACCAGACCAUCGGGCUGGUUAGCUGUAAAUUUAGACCGUCCGUCAGAAAUCUAGACCGUCUCAGGCGGUCGGAUUGGCCUUAUUCCAUACACUGCUUGAACACUGCCAUAGA